rnacentral:tRNA from 1 species
GAGGGUGUAGCUCAGUGGUAGAGCGCAUGCAUAGCACGCACGAGGUCUUGGGUUCAGUCCCCUGUACUGCCA